rnacentral:rRNA from 1 species
CAACUACAUUGAGUAUAGGAGGUCCAGCCUGCCCAGUGACUACGGGUUCAACGGCCGCGGUAUUUUGACCGUGCAAAGGUAGCGCAAUCACUUGUCUCUUAAAUAGAGACCUGUAUGAAUGGCUAGACGAGGGCUUAACUGUCUCCCCCUUCCGGUCAGUGAAAUUGAUCUAUCCGUGCAGAAGCGGGUAUAAAUAUACAAGACGAGAAGACCCUUUGGAGCUUAAGGUACAACAUUCAACCACGUUAAACGACUCCAUAUAAAGCGCGAACUUAGUGGUAGAUGAAAUUUUACCUUCGGUUGGGGCGACCGCGGAGGAAAAAGAAGCCUCCGAGUGGACUGGGCCAAACCCCUAAAGCCAAUAGAUACAUCUAUAAGCCGCAGAACAUCUGACCAAAAAUGAUCCGGCUGAUAAAGCCGAUCAACGAACCAAGUUACCCUAGGGAUAACAGCGCAAUCCUCUCCCAGAGUCCAUAUCGACGAGGGGGUUUACGACCUCGAUGUUGGAUCAGGACAUCCUAAUGGUGCAGCCGCUAUUAAGGGUUCGUUUGUUCAACGAUUAAAGU